GUGGGGAAUUUUGGACAAUGGGCGCAAGCCUGAUCCAGCCAUUCCGCGUGCAGGAUGAAGGCCUUCGGGUUGUAAACUGCUUUUGUACGGAACGAAACGGUUCUCUCUAAUACAGGGGGCUAAUGACGGUACCGUAAGAAUAAGCACCGGCUAACUACGUGCCAGCAGCCGCGGUAAUACGUAGGGUGCAAGCGUUAAUCGGAAUUACUGGGCGUAAAGCGUGCGCAGGCGGUUUUGUAAGACAGAGGUGAAAUCCCCGGGCUCAACCUGGGAACUGCCUUUGUGACUGCAAGGCUGGAGUACGGCAGAGGGGGAUGGAAUUCCGCGUGUAGCAGUGAAAUGCGUAGAUAUGCGGAGGAACACCGAUGGCGAAGGCAAUCCCCUGGGCCUGUACUGACGCUCAUGCACGAAAGCGUGGGGAGCAAACAGGAUUAGAAACCCUAGUAGUCC
rnacentral:rRNA from 1 species